UGUGGGUUUAUUUUAUUUUUAAUUUUUUUAAAUUAAGAAGAUAAAAAGGAAAGUAAAAUGGGUUGUCAUCUUUUGGGAUAAGAUGACAAGGCUUAUCUUUUGGGUUGUGUUUACAUGUAGAUAAGGUUUGGGUGAUGUGUAAGGAGAAGAAAUGGCGGGAUUUAGCUUAAUUUGUGGGAUAGGAUUCGAGCUUUUCACACUUGAGUUCUUUUCUUAGGGUUAGGUCACUAGGGGUUAUAAAUAGAAGAGAAUGUGAACCUUGGAGACCCAUUUGGGUGGCUGCCAAAACUUGGAGAGAAAGAGAGAAAGGGGAGGAUGAAAAAGAGGAAGAAAAAGAGAGAAAGAAAGAGAGAAAGGGAGAGAAGAGGAAAGGAUUUCAAGGAUCUCUAGGUUGUUCAAAGAGGGUGACCAUUGUUUUGUGUACCUUAUUUCUAGCAAGAGAGGAAAAUAGCUAUGGCGGCGGGAAGAUUCUUGUCAGCUUGGGAAUGUGUAUUGAGGCAGGAUGGAAUCGGUGGAUUGAGCAUUCGAUUCGAGGAUGAAGUCGCUUCCUAGUCUUUUAAAAAUUAUGCUUUAUAUGUAUUUUCCACACUUAAUUUUUGUAACCCAUUUAUUUAAAGUUAUGUUAUGUUUUCAUUUUGAAAACAAUGGGAUCUCAUAUCCUACUUUAAAUUUUAUGUAGUUUAACAUUUGUUUUACAAGUUUUA